rnacentral:rRNA from 1 species
AGAGUUUGAUCCUGGCUCAGAACGAACGCUGGCGGCGUGCCUAACACAUGCAAGUCGAACGGAAUUUGAGAACUUGCUCUUAAAUUUAGUGGCGCACGGGUGAGUAACGCGUAGAUAAUCUGCCUGACGAUCUGGGAUAACACUUCGAAAGAGGUGCUAAUACCGGAUAAGCCCACGGAGUCUUUGGACUUUGCGGGAAA